ACGUAGGGGGCAAGCGUUGUCCGGAAUCAUUGGGCGUAAAGCGCGCGUAGGCGGCCCGGUAAGUCCGCUCUGAAAGUCCAGGGCUCAACCCUCGGAUGCCGGUGGAUACUGUCGGGCUUGAGUACGGAAGAGGCGAGUGGAAUUCCUGGUGUAGCGGUGAAAUGCGCAGAUAUCAGGAGGAACACCAAUUGCGAAGGCAGCUCGCUGGGACGUAACUGACGCUGAGGCGCGAAGGCGUGGGGAGCGAACGGGA
rnacentral:rRNA from 1 species